GAAGGUGGCGAGCGUUGUUCGGAUUCACUGGGCAUAAAGGGCGCGUAGGCGGCUCUGUAAGCGGCGUGUGAAAACCCACGGCUUAACCGUUGAAUUGCGCGCUGGACUGCAGAGCUAGAGGGCGGGAGGGGGGUGUGGAACUCUAGGUGGAGCGGUGGAAUGCGUAGAUACCUAGAGGAACACCGGUGGCGAAAGCGACACCCUGGCCCGCAUCUGACGCUGAGGCGCGAAAGCGUGGGUAGCAAACAGGAUUAGAUACCCUGGUAGUCCACGCCGUAAACGAUGAGCACUAGGUAGCCGUCGGAACCGACCGGGGGCUGCUGAAGGAAAUCCAUUAAGUGCUCCGCCUGGGGAGUAUGGUCGCAAGGCUG
rnacentral:rRNA from 1 species